AAAGCUUGCUUUUGAAAGGUCAGCGGCGGACGGGUGAGUAACACGUGGGCAACCUGCCUGUAAGACUGGGAUAACUUCGGGAAACCGGAGCUAAUACCGGAUAAUAUAAGGAACCUCCUGGUUCUUUAUUGAAAGAUGGUUUCGGCUAUCACUUACAGAUGGGCCCGCGGCGCAUUAGCUAGUUGGUGAGGUAACGGCUCACCAAGGCGACGAUGCGUAGCCGACCUGAGAGGGUGAUCGGCCACACUGGGACUGAGACACGGCCCAGACUCCUACGGGAGGCAGCAGUAGGGAAUCUUCCACAAUGGACGAAAGUCUGAUGGAGCAACGCCGCGUGAGCGAUGAAGGCCUUCGGGUCGUAAAGCUCUGUUGUUAGGGAAGAACAAGUGCGAGAGUAACUGCUCGCACCUUGACGGUACCUAACCAGAAAGCCACGGCUAACUACGUGCCAGCAGCCGCGGUAAUACGUAGGUGGCAAGCGUUGUCCGGAAUUAUUGGGCGUAAAGCGCGCGCAGGUGGUCCUUUAAGUCUGAUGUGAAAGCCCACGGCUCAACCGUGGAGGGUCAUUGGAAACUGGGGGACUUGAGUGCAGAAGAGGAAAGUGGAAUUCCAAGUGUAGCGGUGAAAUGCGUAGAGAUUUGGAGGAACACCAGUGGCGAAGGCGACUUUCUGGUCUGUAACUGACACUGAGGCGCGAAAGCGUGGGGAGCAAACAGGAUUAGAUACCCUGGUAGUCCACGCCGUAAACGAUGAGUGCUAAGUGUUAGAGGGUUUCCGCCCUUUAGUGCUGCAGCUAACGCAUUAAGCACUCCGCCUGGGGAGUACGGUCGCAAGACUGAAACUCAAAGGAAUUGACGGGGGCCCGCACAAGCGGUGGAGCAGGUGGUUUAAUUCGAAGCAACGCGAAGAACCUUACCAGGUCUUGACAUCCUCUGACACUCCUAGAGAUAGGACGUUCCCCUUCGGGGGACA
rnacentral:rRNA from 1 species